rnacentral:lncRNA from 1 species
UAGGAUGACAGACCUUCAGCGGUUACCCUCACAAAGAAGACACCCCUGAACCCAAGCUUCUUCUUGGAGGAGCAGCGCCACAAUUCUAAAAAAUCAGAGAUCUCCACCGACUCUUAAGGUUGACCGACCUAUUAGUACAUGCAUUCUACUCGGAAUCAUUCAGAAACAUCUCUGUUAUUCUAUCAAAAUCUCACCUUCCAGUCGCCCACACACACACACAACUUCUUCUUCAUCUCCAAAACUGGUGACCCCUAGCCGGAAACCAACCCCACGAGCUGAGACCAGCCGCUACCUUCAAGCCACCAACGACCCCUGACCUUCUCAUUCUUCACCCAUUUCCCUACACCACCCAACCAGGCUGCCACACCCCAGUCCCUUUCAAAACACACCUGCUAUAAAUAUUCACACACACAUAGAAAGCAAGGACCGAGAAGGGAAAAUCGAAAAACAAAGUGAAAAUGGGCUAAAGGAGUUUUGGACAAAAUAGAUAUCUCUCUUCUGAUUUUCAAUUUUAGUUUUCAUGUAUAAAAAUUAUCAAAAGAGAAUUAUGUUUCUUCCCACUACAAAAAUGGUUUAAGAUUUGGAUUUUUGAGUUGAUUUGGACUGUCCGUUUCCAAAUUUGAGAUUGUAGCCUGAGGUUCCUGGCGAUUUGAGCUCCGUUCGAGGUUUGAAUUUGAAGUUCGCCGGCAUCCGCAGUUCAGGGUCCAGUCUUCGUCCCAUAACAAUUUUGCAUCCAAACAGAAUUUUUAACGUUGGAGGUUCUCGUUAAUUGGAAAAGCUAAACUAAGGUUUGAUUCUCUGCCUUUUGAAUGUUUAUUGUGAUUCUUGUGGAUGUUGGGCGAAGAUGGAAUGCACUCCAAUUGUUUUCUACAUUUGAUUGUUUGUCUACAAUUUGAUUCCUAUGUUUGGUCCAUUGUUCUAGUGUGUAAUCUUUAUAUCUAUUAAAUGGUUAACCCCCUUUAAUUGAUUUCAUGAAAAUAUCAUACAAAUGGGCUAAUGUAGUUAAAACUCGUAUGGGUUUGAUCGUAGCUAUGUUCAAGUAGAAGUUGGUUAAGAUAUAUUUGGAUAACGUUUUGAGUGAAACAAGUAAAUGAAAGAGUAUUUGUUGGCAUGAAGUUAAUAAGAUUCUAUUAGCAAGAAUGAAGGAAAAUUUUUGGCUCAAAAUAAUUCAUGCUACCAUUCUAUUCUUGUUUCAUCAAUCGAACUGCUAGGAGCAUGCUUAGGCCGGUUUCACUCGGGUAGGUAAUGUGAGCACGUGAUUUUUGCGUCAUUAAAAUUACUCCUACAGAAUUCCCGGAUUUAGGAUUCCUCCUUUUAUUAUUUAUUUUUAGGAUUUAAUUGCGCAUAUUAGUGUGUGUUUUCAUUUGUGCAUGCAUGACAAGUCAUAAAAAUACAAAAAAACAUAAACAUUUAGGAUUUAAUUUCACAUGGUUUUUUUAAAAUUCAUUAGUAAUUAAGGUUAUGUUUUACGAAAUAUUAAAUUACAAAAAAAAUAGUUUAUUUUGGCAUUUAUUUAAUUUGUAGCUUCCAAAUUGGUGAUUUUCUUAUUUGUUUAGUUUAGUUGAAUUUAGUCUAAUAAGAAUUUUAAAAUAAAAUUAGGAUGUUUUAAAAUAUGAAAAUGAAAAACGAAAUAGGAAUUAAAAUGAUUUAAACAAGGGUGGCCACAAUUGGGCAAGCCUGGGUGGUCCAAAUUCCCUUUUCCGUCAAAAAUGCCCCAAGACCCGUCUCUGAACCAAGCUGAUAUGAGAGACGCCCCAAAACGACAUCGUUUUGGGGCAAUCAAUCUCAUCCAUCUAUCAACGGUGAUCCAACGGUCCUAAACUUUCACCCAAAACAAAUUUAUAUGUCCAAACGUGUGUAAUACACUCAGAUACAAACCCUUUAGUCCUCGUACCAAACCUUCAGCGGUGUAACACCGUCCAGGAGCCACCACAAACCAUUGUAUAACCGCCGGCCGGAAAUUGUCUCCGCCGGCGGCAAAGCUCAGAUCCCGCCCAAAAAUAGACCCCUGACUCCCCUUACCCUCCUCUUUCCGAUGCCCUAAAAAUCAAACCUCGAAUAUAAGACAAUCGUCUCGAAUAUUAGAUUCUUUGGACGCCGCCUCCUACGUCCACGGCGGCACCGUCGCCGGAACCCUCCCAGAAUAACACCACAUACUCCUCACCCCAUUCCCAUAACGAAUCCAAGGUUGUAUUCCUCCAAACCUCUACCCAUCGCUUCGAAUAUUAGAUCAAAGCUCUGACCCAAAUCCCCAACCUUACUGGAAUCCUUCAAAAAUGGUACUAGUGACUUCAUCACCUUCCUUUCCACAAAUCCACGACCAUCAGCCUUCAAAUUAAACCAUACUUGGCCAAAACUCAAGUCAAAAUAGCCUGAAACCCAGACCCCCAUCCCAAGCCAACUAACCCUAACCUUAUACCCUCUCCCCCUCUCAAAUAAUGGCACAAAGGCCUCAAGAGGCCAAGGACCCUCUCAGAAGGGGUCGAAAAACCUUGAGACAUGAAGGGCCCAAAAUGUUUAGUGUUGGAGUUUUAAAUAGCUAAGUUUUCUUUGUUCUUCUUUCUAAUUGGUGUUAAUUCUCUUUGUUCUUCUUUCUGAUUGUUUUUAAUUUCUUUUGUUCUUCCAUAUAAUUGUUUUUAAUUUCCUUUGUUCUUCCUUGUAAUUGCUUUUAAGUUCUCUUUUGAUUGCUUUUAAUUCCCUUUGUUCUUCCUUCCGUUUGCUUUUGAGUAUCUUUGUUUUCGUUUGUAUGCAUGAAUGUCCAUUCGCUCAUUUGUAAAAAUUUCUGAUUGGUUACUUUGUUUCCAUCACAUGCUUUUAUUUCUUAAGUCUUGAUAAUAUGGUUCUGAAGAAUCCUCUUAUCAUUUGAAGUCAUAGUUGUUUCUUUCGACUCAUUUGAAUUAUCAUGCUAAGCUUAGAAUUAUCCAUCUCUCGUUUAACCUUCCAUCUUUUGUUUCAAAAAUUGAUCAGCGUCCAUUUGUGAUAAAUCUUGUUUAUGAAGUUUGUGUUGUUUAAUUUCAUCUUUGCUUCUGAGUAAUUUAGUUCCAUCUUUUGAUAUUUGUCUAAAUCCGCCUGUAUAUAUGUGUUGCAUUGAUUUGUUACUUACCAAUUUUGACCUUUGUGUGUUUGCUUUUACAUAGUAUAGUAUAGUUUCCAAUUAAAUAGUUGGUCAUGUCCAGCUUUCUCAAAAUUCGAUCCUAACUGAUAAUGUAACAUUGGUUUAUGACCUUAAGUAGUUAACUAAGGUCAUUUUCUGACCAAAUGGAUAGGCACCAGGGUAUAAAACAUCUAGGUUAGUAAUUAAGAAAGGAAGACACGGGUAUUGGGGGUAUUUGAGCAUAAGAAUCUUGUAACAAACCCCUGGAACAUUCUGGUGGAGGUUCGAAAUGCAAUUUAUGUUAAUUCUUUCUCAAAACAUGAGGCACGAGUUAAAAAAUGAGGGAGCAAUUAAGCAAAUCUAAAAAAUGGGUAAGGGACUAAUAGGAAAACAAAAAGAUUUUGUUGCCCUAAGGCCUUGGAUAUAAAAUGGUAUCUUAUUAUUUAAAAAGGAGAGACACAUUUUUAGAAAAAAGGUCGAGAACAUUCAUCUAAAAACCAAUACCCUGAAAAUCUUAAGCUUUCCUGACAAAAUCCUCUUAAAAUAAUCAAAUUCUGUUCAUUAAAAGUUGAAGAUGAAUUGAGGCAUAUGCAUUUGAGGUGUUAGAUUUUGCAGAAGCAAUUUUAGGCGUUGCUCUUAGGCUGGUUUACUUUGCACAAGUUUGGGAUCGAAACUUGUGUUGUUAUUUGCUUCUCAAAACUUCCUGAGUUCCUGAUACAUUCCUCGGUCAACUGGUUUAUUUGGCUUCUGUUUAUUGCUUCUUGUUUACCUCACUCAUAGGUUUCCUUUUUGUUGUAAUUCCAAGUUUGGGUUAACUGGUUGAUUUGGCUGCUGUUUGUUGCUUCUUGUUUACAUCACUCAUAGGUUUCCCUCUUUGCUGUAAUUCCAGGUAUUACUCUCAUCCAGGAAAAUUUUGAAAAUGCACAGCUGUACAUAUUCGUGACCAUGACUGAUAAUGAAGAUGAUUAUAUUUUUAUAUCAAUGCCAUAAUAUGAACGUUGCUAGUUUAGUAGUAUUUCAGUGCUGUAAUACGUAUAAACAUGUAAACUAUG